rnacentral:lncRNA from 10 species
CAAAAAAGGGGGUGCUCCAGCUGCCCCACCACCCCCUCCCCCUCCCUUGGCUCCACCCCUUAUCAUGGAGAACCUGAAGAAUUCACUCUCACCAGCUACCCAGAGGAAGAUGGGAGACAAAGUCCUCCCUGCCCAGGAGAAGAACUCCCGUGACCAGCUAUUGGCUGCCAUCCGCUCCAGCAACCUCAAGCAGCUCAAGAAGUGGAAGUGCCCAAACUGCUUCAGUAGGACCAGGCUGCCAGGCACCAUCUGCCAAUGCCAUGACUGCUCAGGCCUCACCUCCCAGGGCUACACAGACCCUGCCCACCCCAUCCCUGGCUGACCUGCUGUGGAUGUCCCUAUUCUGCCAUGGGAGAGUCCAGGCCUGGGUCACGCUCAAGGAAGGAUGCCUUAUCUCUUCUCACUUUCCUUUUCUUGUCUCUGAGGCUCUCCAAAUUUUGCUUUAGUACAUGGAGCUCAGGUUUCUGGACAAGAAGAGUCCUUUUAGCACAUCACUGAGAAGAUGGCACUGUCCAGGGCCCAUGUAGCUGGCAAGCUGCAAAAGGCCUGUGAUCCAGGAAAGAUGUCCCACAGGGACCACAUCCACCCCAGCCCCACUGCCCUCCAGGGCCAGGAUUCAGGCCUCUGAGGAGCCCACGGGGCAAAGCUGCUGGGCCAGUGGCACUCUGUGUGGGAAAAUGGCAGAAAGAUGGAGAGGCAUGGGGGCCCAAAGGGGAGCGUGGGGAGGGGCUGAGGAUACCCCAAAGUCCAGGCUAAUUAGAGGAUGUGGCAGGGGCAGUGGCCUGGAUGCACAGUGCCUGAUGGGAGUAGGCUCCAGACAGGAGGAGUGGGACAGACAGCAGCUGGACUUGAAGGUUUGAUGCCAAAGCAGACAUUUUCCUCACACCCACCUGCUGCUGUAUGAAUAGCUGUGUAUCUGUUUUUCCAUAAGAUUUUGAUAAUAUAUACAAACCUUUAGCUGUGAAUGGCUGUGCCCCACCUGUUGUCCUGAACUGUGAGUCCUGAUCCUAACCCUGGGCUCCCUGGAGGACUCUAGAAGCUCAGGUUCCCUGCCACACUAUUUGAGUUGGCCAAGAAAUAAAUUCACAUCCUCAGAAAGUGCAGCAUGGAGGAAAAUCUGAACUCUAAGCAGAAGACUCUCCACUGACCUGGUUGUCCAGGUCUAGAAGGCCAGGCCUCUACUAGGUCUGCUCCUGAACCAGUCCUGCUGCCUGGAGUCAGUAGCCAGAGUUGUUCUCAGGGGUGCUGGGGCAGAGUGGAGCCCAGGGUGCUGGGAUGGCUAUAUUAGGCAUGUUCAGGGAUGCUCAUUCCAUGACUCUGCCUAACCAUGGGCUCAGGGCCAGGUCCUCACAGCAGUCACAGGCCCAGGAAGGCGGCAGGCAGAGAAGUGGAGUGACUAUUUGGAGAAUAGCACCCAUAUCUGUGUGCCCUAGGGCUCAGAGGGGCCUCAUCUUCCCCAGCCCUCCCCACCUGCUCACCAAUUCCACUUCCUGCCCCAACUGCAGGAAUGCUGACAAUGCUGCCAUGCCCACCAUCGGGUGUAGGUGAAAGGCAUCUUUCUGAAUUUCAUUCUCUUGAAGGUGCUGCCACCCCUUGGCACUGUGGAACUGCCACCUUGGGUCUGUGUCACUUGUAGGUUUCUCUGCCUCCAGGUUGCCUCAACAGCAGGAGGCACAGCAGUUUCACCAUCUUUGAGGUGAGGGUGGGGUGCCCCAGCUAGGAAGCAAGAUCGCUGUGCUAGGUCUGACCAAAACCAGAGGGCAGUCUAGUCCUGGGGGUAAAGCCCUCAGAUCCCAGGGUACACUCUUCUCCAUUCCCUCCACCCACUUGCCUGUCACCCCAGUCACCUAAGCAAUCACUGGGCCCAGAGGAGAGGAGACAGACACACACUGGCUCCUGGACCUAAAGGGUAUGAGCUGGAGCUAAGGCCAGCUAGAGCUUCCACUGUCAGCCCUCACUGUCAGUCCCACUGCACCCCCCUGUGCCUGCUGGGCACUGGGCACUAGCUAGAUGCUUUAGGUUGCUUCAGCUGAUCCUUCAACUCUGUGAGGUGGAUACCAAUAUUCUAUUUUGCAGAUAGAAUUUGGCCCAGAGAGGUUAACUAAUAUAUCCAUGAUCACACAGCUAAUAAAAGUCAGAGC